UGACAAUCGGAGUUCAUACUGAAUGAGUUCAGCUUGUGAUGGCACAUCAUCGAGCUGUCGUUUAAAUGACAGAGUGGACCUCAAUUUAGCUGCAAGUUCCCUCUUUGCGAAAUCAAGCUUCUUAGUGGAGUCCCGAAAAGUAUGGUCCAAAUUUUCAGAGAACUUCACCUCUUUGCCUUUUUGCAGUAGCUCCUCAAACUCAUCAACCUUGGUUUGCAAUUUAGCAUGUUCUAAGAUGCACCUAGAUUGGAGUUCAGAUUCUUGGUUGUCAAGGGCCUUGGACGUUUCCAGAAGCCAUAAUAUCUUCUGCGCAGUGGAAUCACCGUCAAUUUUUUCUUCUAUUUGCUUUAUUUCACUCAGCAAAUCAUCUUUUUUCAGUUCUUCCAUUAUUAUUCAUGAACGAUCG
rnacentral:misc_RNA from 1 species